rnacentral:rRNA from 1 species
GUCAAUUGGUAGAGGAGCAUUCUUAACGGGGCGAAGCUGUACCGGAAGGAGCAGUGGACUGUUAAGAAGAGAGAAUGCCGGAAUGAGUAGCGAGAGGAAGGUGAGAAUCCUUCCGGCCGAAUAUCUAAGGUUUCCAGAGUAAAGCUGAUCUGCUCUGGGUAAGUCGGGGCCUAAGGCGAGGUCGAAAGACGUAGUCGAUGGAUAACAGGUAAAGAUUCCUGUACUAUAUCAUAACAGAACUGUGGGGACGCAGACAGAGAGCAUAAGCCGGGAAUGGAAAGACCGGUACAAGCGAGGUAGGAGUGCAUCAGGCAAAUCCGGUGCACAAUCUGAAGACGUGAUGUGGGGCGUAAAGCCGGAAGUAUGUGAGCUGGCUGCCAAGAAAAGCCGCUAUUGUUUAUGAUAUACCCGUACCGUAAACCGACACAGGUGGAUGAGGAGAGAAUCCUAAGGCCGACGGGAGAAGCAUUGUUAAGGAACUCGGCAAAAUGACUCCGUAACUUCGGGAGAAGGAGUGCCAUGUAAAAGUGGCCGCAGAGAAUUGGCCCAAGCAACUGUUUAGCAAAAACACAGGUCUAUGCAAAACCGAAAGGUGAGGUAUAUGGGCUGACGCCUGCCCGGUGCUGGAAGGUUAAGGGGAGAGGUUAG